UAGAAAUGCAGCACUGGUACGGGUACGGAUCCGACGCCUCUCGAAGGAUACUUAGGCUCUCCGCACCCUACUCCUACUCAAAACGUCCCCGACGUACAGAACGUGUCUUUCGUGUCGUGUAACAUGUCUUUCCGCAUAUCGGAGCUUGGGUAUACGGGGAAACCCAACCCCUUGGGAGGAUGGAAGACAUGGCUAAUUUGAGAGGA
rnacentral:ribozyme from 1 species